UUGUUCACCGUCGUACUCUAUGUGAUAUCACAAAUGUUCAACAACCUUCAUAUGUGAUCCCUGGUACUUAUUUGGUAGAUUUACAAUGUCGUUAAUUACAUGUGUGUAUUUGACAAUCAUACUAUUUGUGAUUAUGUUUAACUUCUCUUUGCUUUCUGAACGCCCGUGGUGGAUAACUAUAGGAACUAAUGUUGGGGCAGAUCAUAUCUUGGGGCAGCUAAUCAAACCCACGCGAGAUGAUAAGCACAGGAAAGUUGAUCUUCGUCCCCUUUGUAAUUCAAAUGACCCAGCUAGCUCGGUUGAUACAUCAAUCUCGCAUAAUGAAUCAACAUUUCCUCCUAAAGCUACGGGAGCGUCUGAUGUAAUUGCAGAUAAAAAUAUAAAAGAAAAUACGCAAGUAACAGAAGAAGAACGCAAACGAGACCGUAAAAAAGCUUUGAGGAGAGCUGCAUAUCGGCAGAGAAAAGAUCGGAAUCUCCAAGAUGAAC